CAGGUAUAACAGACAGACAGGUAUAACAGACAGACAGGUAUAACAGACAGACAGGUAUAACAGACAGACAGGUAUAACAGACAGACAGGUAUAACAGACAGACAGGUAUAACAGACAGACAGGUAUAACAGACAGACAGGUAUAAAGACAGACAGACAGGUAUAACAGACAGACAGGUAUAACAGACAGACAGGUAUAACAGACAGACAGGUAUAACAGACAGACAGGUAUAACAGACAGACAGGUAUAACAGACAGACAGGUAUAAAGACAGACAGGUAUAACAGACAGACAGGUAUAACAGACAGACAGGUAUAACAGACAGACAGGUAUAACAGACAGACAGGUAUAACAGACAGACAGGUAUAACAGACAGAUGUACCUGUUUGCUGUAGGUUUCAUCAAACAGACAGUUCAUGAUGUCUUCAGCCAGUUUGGCCUCAUCAGGGUCAGCAGCCCGGCCCACCCAGGUAUAGACUAUCCCCUGGUUGUCUGUACUCUCAAAGGGC
rnacentral:lncRNA from 1 species